UUUGUAUUACGUGCGGAAAUCGUUACCAUUUUCGGCUCAAAAAUGGUAACAAUUUCCGCACGCAAUACAAA
rnacentral:miRNA from 1 species